rnacentral:rRNA from 1 species
CAGUAGCCACGGUAAUACGGAGGGGGCUAGCGUUGUUCGGAAUUACUGGGCGUAAAGCGCACGUAGGCGGCUUGGUAAGUUAGAGGUGAAAGCCUGGAGCUCAACUCCAGAAUUGCCUUUAAGACUGCCGAGCUAGCAGGUGAGAGAGGUAAGUGGAAUUCCGAGUGUAGAGGUGAAAUUCGUAGAUAUUCGGAAGAACACCAGUGGCGAAGGCGGCCUACUGGCUCAUACUGGACGCUGAGGUGCGAAAGCGUGGGGAGCAAACAGGAUUAGAUACCCGGGUAGUCCCUGUCUCUUAUAC